GCACUCGCUUCGGCAGCACAUAUACUGAAAUUGGAAUGAUACAGAGAAGAUUAGCAUGGCCCCUGCGCAAGGAUAACACGUGAAUUGAGAAAGCGUUCCGUAUUUUU